AAAUUGAAGAGUUUGAUCAUGGCUCAGAUUGAACGCUGGCGGCAGGCCUAACACAUGCAAGUCGAACGGUAACAGGAAGCAGCUUGCUGCUUCGCUGACGAGUGGCGGACGGGUGAGUAAUGUCUGGGAAACUGCCUGAUGGAGGGGGAUAACUACUGGAAACGGUGGCUAAUACCGCAUAACGUCGCAAGACCAAAGAGGGGGACCUUCGGGCCUCUUGCCAUCAGAUGUGCCCAGAUGGGAUUAGCUUGUUGGUGAGGUAAUGGCUCACCAAGGCGACGAUCCCUAGCUGGUCUGAGAGGAUGACCAGCCACACUGGAACUGAGACACGGUCCAGACUCCUACGGGAGGCAGCAGUGGGGAAUAUUGCACAAUGGGCGCAAGCCUGAUGCAGCCAUGCCGCGUGUAUGAAGAAGGCCUUCGGGUUGUAAAGUACUUUCAGCGGGGAGGAAGGUGUUGUGGUUAAUAACCGCAGCAAUUGACGUUACCCGCAGAAGAAGCACCGGCUAACUCCGUGCCAGCAGCCGCGGUAAUACGGAGGGUGCAAGCGUUAAUCGGAAUUACUGGGCGUAAAGCGCACGCAGGCGGUCUGUCAAGUCGGAUGUGAAA
rnacentral:rRNA from 2 species